rnacentral:rRNA from 1 species
GAUGAACGCUGGCGGCGUGCCUAACACAUGCAAGUCGAACGAAAAGACGAUGAGCUUGCGCCUUUGACGUUAGCGGCGGACGGGAGAGUAACACGUGUAUAACCUACCUAUAAGACUGGGAUAAUCUCGGGAAACCGGAGCUAAUACCAUAGAAUAUACUGAACCGCAGGGUGCAAUAGAGAAUGUCGGCUUUGCUGUCUGGAAUAGAUGCAUCUGCGCCGUAUUAGCUGGUAGGUAAGGUAACGGCCUACCAAGGCUACGAGGCGUAGCCGACCUGAGAGGGUGGUCGGCCACACUGGAACUGAGACACGGUCCAGACUCCUGCGGGAGGCAGCAGUAGGGAAUCUUCCGCAAUGGGCGGAAGCCUGACGCAGCAAGGCCGCGUGAGUUACGAAGGCGUUCGGAUCGUAAAGCUCUGUUAUUGGGUAAGAACAACUGUGUACGUAACUAUGCACGUCUUGACGGUACCUAAUCAAGAAGCCCCGGCUAACUACGUG